rnacentral:rRNA from 1 species
GGAUUAGGCAUGCAAGUCGAACGAGGGAGCAUUCCGAAAGGGAUGCAAACCGAGUGGCGUAAGGGUGAGUAAUGCAUUGAUAACCUACCUCCAAGAUGGGAAUAACAACGUUCCAAGCAAUUGGGGCUACCGAAAGGGUUGCUAAUACUCAAUAAAAUUAUUGUUGCUUCGGCAAUAAUAGUCAAAUAGGCGGAAUCGAAAGGUUCCGCUUGCUUGAAGAGGGGUCAAUGUCCUAUCAGCUAGUUGGUGGGGUAAUAGCCCACCAAGGCGAAGACGGGUAGCCGGCCUGAGAGGGUGGUCGGCCACACUGGGACUGAGAUACUGCCCAGACUCCUACGGGAGGCUGCAGUCGAGAAUCUUUCGCAAUGCCCGAAAGGGUGACGAAGCGACGCCGCGUGCGGGAGGAAGGCCUUCGGGUUGUAAACCGCUGUCGGGAGUUAAGAAAUGCAAGGAUGUUAAUAGCGUUCUUGCUUGACUAAGGCUCCGGAGGAAGCCACGGCUAACUCUGUGCCAGCAGCCGCGGUAAUACAGAGGCGGCAAGCGUUGUUCGGAAUUAUUGGGCGUAAAGAGCACGUAGGCGGCUGUGUAAGUCGGUUGUGAAAGCCUUCCGCUCAACGGAAGAACGGCAUCCGAUACUGCAUAGCUUGAGUGUGGGAGGGGAGAGUGGAACUUCUGGUGGAGCGGUGAAAUGCGUAGAUAUCAGAAGGAACACCGGCGGCGAAGGCGACUCUCUGGUCCAUAACUGACGCUGAGUGUGCGAAAGCUAGGGGAGCAAACGGGAUUAGAUACCCCGGUAGUCCUAGCCGUAAACGAUGGGCACUAAGUAGAGGGGUUUU